rnacentral:rRNA from 1 species
CACGUAGGCACCAAGCGUUGUCCGGAUUUAUUGGGCGUAAAGAGCUCGUAGGCGGUUCGGUAAGUCGGGUGUGAAAACUCUGGGCUCAACCCAGAGCCGCCACCUGAUACUGCUGGUGACUAGAGUGCGGUAGGGGAGCGGGGAAUUCCCGGUGUAGUGGUGAAAUGCGUAGAGAUCGGGAGGAACACCUGUGGCAAAAGCGGCGCACUGGACCACAACUGACCGCUGAGGCGCGAAAGCUAAGGGGAGCAAACAGGGG